rnacentral:lncRNA from 1 species
GUGGAUGGACCGGGUUCAUAGGAAACUCUACCGUAAACGUUGUCUCAUACUGGACGGGGUAUGGAGACUUGGUCAUUUGGCGCUCAUACCGGAUGGGGUAUGAGGACAACCCACUUUACCCUCAUAUCGAACGGAGUAUUGAGGUUUAAUGUCUUGGUGCUCAUCCUGGACAGGGUAUGGAGACGGCUCUUGAAUUAAGAUUGUU